rnacentral:rRNA from 1 species
GGGAUUGCCCUAGUAACGGCGAGUGAAGCGGCAACAGCUCAAAUUUGAAAUCUGGCUCUUUCAGAGUCCGAGUUGUAAUUUGCAGAGGGCGCUUUGGCUUUGGCAGCGGUCCAAGUUCCUUGGAACAGGACGUCACAGAGGGUGAGAAUCCCGUACGUGGUCGCUAGCUAUUGCCGUGUAAAGCCCCUUCGACGAGUCGAGUUGUUUGGGAAUGCAGCUCUAAAUGGGAGGUAAAUUUCUUCUAAAGCUAAAUAUUGGCCAGAGACCGAUAGCGCACAAGUAGAGUGAUCGAAAGAUGAAAAGCACUUUGGAAAGAGAGUCAAACAGCACGUGAAAUUGUUGAAAGGGAAGCGCUUGCAGCCAGACUUGCUUGCAGUUGCUCAUCCGGGCUUUUGCCCGGUGCACUCUUCUGCAGGCAGGCCAGCAUCAGUUUGGGCGGUGGGAUAAAGGUCUCUGACACGUUCCUUCCUUCGGGUUGGCCAUAUAGGGGAGACGUCAUACCACCAGCCUGGACUGAGGUCCGCGCAUCUGCUAGGAUGCUGGCGUAAUGGCUGUAAGCGGCCCGUCUUGAAACACGGACCAAGGAGUCUAACAUCUAUGCGAGUGUUUGGGUGUCAAGCCCGAGCGCGUAAUGAAAGUGAACGGAGGUGGGAACCCGCAAGGGUGCACCAUCGACCGAUCCUGAAGUUUACGGAAGGAUUUGAGUAAGAGCAUGGCUGUUGGGACCCGAAAGAUGGUGAACUAUGCUUGAAUAGGGUGAAGCCAGAGGAAACUCUGGUGGAGGCUCGCAGCGGUUCUGACGUGCAAAUCGAUCGUCAAAUUUGGGCAUAGGGGCGAAAGAC